rnacentral:rRNA from 1 species
UACGUAGGGUGCGAGCGUUGUCCGGAAUUAUUGGGCGUAAAGAGCUCAUAGGCGGUUUUGUCGCGUCUGCUGUGAAAACUCAGGGCUUAACCCUGAGCCUGCAGUGGGUACGGGCAGACUAGAGUGUGGUAGGGGAGAUCGGAAUUCCUGGUGUAGCGGUGGAAUGCGCAGAUAUCAGGAGGAACACCGGUGGCGAAGGCGGAUCUCUGGGCCAGUAACUGACGCUGGAGGACGAAAGCAUGGGGAGCGAACAGGA